GGGCCGGUAGCUCAGUUGGGAGAGCACCUGAAUGGCAUUCAGGAGGUCGUGCGUUCGAUUCGCAUCCGGUCCACCA
rnacentral:tRNA from 1 species